AACGAACGCUGGCGGCAUGCCUAACACAUGCAAGUCGAACGAGACCUUCGGGUCUAGUGGCGCACGGGUGCGUAACGCGUGGGAACCUGCCCUUAGGUUCGGAAUAACUCCCCGAAAGGGGUGCUAAUACCGGAUAAUGUCUUCGGACCAAAGAUUUAUCGCCUUUGGAUGGGCCCGCGUUGGAUUAGCUAGUUGGUAGGGUAAAAGCCUACCAAGGCGACGAUCCAUAGCUGGUCUGAGAGGAUGAUCAGCCACACUGGGACUGAGACACUGCCCAGACUCCUACGGGAGGCAGCAGUGGGGAAUAUUGGACAAUGGGCGAAAGCCUGAUCCAGCAAUGCCGCGUGAGUGAUGAAGGCCUUAGGGUUGUAAAGCUCUUUUACCCGGGAUGAUAAUGACAGUACCGGGAGAAUAAGCGCCGGCUAACUCCGUG
rnacentral:rRNA from 1 species